rnacentral:rRNA from 1 species
AUUGAACGCUGGCGGCAGGCUUAACACAUGCAAGUCGAACGAGUGGCGGACGGGUGAGUAAUGCCUGGGAAACUGGCUUAUGGAGGGGGAUAACGACGGGAAACUGUCGCUAAUACCGCGUACCAUAGGAUGAGCCCAAGUGGGAUUAGGUAGUUGGUGGGGUAAUGGCUUACCAAGGCGACGAUCCCUAGCUGGUCUGAGAGGAUGACCAGCCAAACGGGAACUGAGACACGGCCCGGACUCCUACGGGAGGCAGCAGUGGGGAAUAUUGCACAAUGGGGGCAAGCCUGACGCAGCCAUGCCGCGUGAAUGAAGAAGGCCUUCGGGUUGUAAAGUUCUUUCGGUGAGGAGGCGUUAAUCACAGAAGAAGCACCGGCUAACUCCGUGCCAGCAGCCGCGGUAAUUC